rnacentral:tRNA from 13 species
CGGCAUGUAGCGCAGCCUGGUAGCGCACCGUCAUGGGGUGUCGGGGGUCGCAGGUUCAAAUCCUGUCAUGCCGACCA